GAUGAACGCUAGCUACAGGCUUAACACAUGCAAGUCGAGGGGAAACGACAUCGAAAGCUUGCUUUUGGUGGGCGUCGACCGGCGCACGGGUGAGUAACGCGUAUCCAACCUGCCCACCACUUGGGGAUAACCUUGCGAAAGUAAGACUAAUACCCGAUGAUAUCCCACGAAGGCAUCCGAAUGGGAUUAAAGAUUUAUCGGUGAUGGAUGGGGAUGCGUCUGAUUAGCUUGUUGGCGGGGUAACGGCCCACCAAGGCAACGAUCAGUAGGGGUUCUGAGAGGAAGGUCCCCCCACAUUGGAACUGAGACACGGUCCAAACUCCUACGGGAGGCAGCAGUGAGGAAUAUUGGUCAAUGGGCGAGAGCCUGAACCAGCCAAGUAGCGUGCAGGAUGACGGCCCUAUGGGUUGUAAACUGCUUUUAUAAGGGAAUAAAGUGGGUCUCGUGAGACUUUUCGCAUGUACCUUAUGAAUAAGGACCGGCUAAUUCCGUG
rnacentral:rRNA from 1 species